CGCUCUCAUACGCCGUUCAAUCCUAAUUCUGAAGAUCACCUGAAACGUAUUAAACAAACGAGUAAGUUAGAAGCCCAAUGUGUGACUCGGCCCACAAACAUAAUUUUUACUUAUAAUAUGCACAAGUGUAAAUAUCAUCAUAGAAUUUUACUUAUAAUGUACAUAUAUACAAAUGUCAUAUCAAAAUGUCAUAUUACCAGAAACAUAUAUCAGAUCAGAAUGUCAUAUUUUCAAAAGCAUAUGUCAAAUCAAAAUGUCAUAUCAGAUCAGAACAAAUCCUUCCCCCAAUCGAUACACACCAACUCCGUCCAACCAAUUAAACCAAAUAGGACUACAAAUCCAUCCAAUCACAUCGGGUCGUGGUGGUAUGCCACUCAUAAUGGUGCAGUUGAGCUGCCAAACAGAUAUUGUGGUUUAACGGUUGGAAUUACAGUAACACUGCCAUAAAACACUUCCUCCAUCAUACCAAAACUCACUUCAAUGCACAUGCAUAAUCAUAAUAACAUACGUACAUAUCACAUGAAUAGUAUGACAUGCAUACCUAAACACAUUUUUAUAGAUCAUUACAUAUCAUAUUGCUUACACUAAGAGUUAUUCUAUAUACAGAUGUCAUACAUGUUUUUUUACAUGUAAUUAUACUUUCAAAGUUAUCAGAACACAGAUCGUAGAUACAUUUUUCACAUACCUUAACCAUAUCACAUACUAACACAUAUUAAUAGAUGUCACAUUUCGAGUCUUAUUUUAGCCAAACAAACCCCACGGAACGUUUAAUUAUGAAUUUUUUAAUCAAACGGGCGUAAGUAAAAAUUUUCAGAAAAUGGGUCCACACAGUCUAACACACCCCCAUGUGGCCCACACGACCCAAAUAGCCCAGAAUGUGUGGUCCACACGAUCUGGCACAUGGUCGUGUGUCUCACACGGUCUGCCACAUAGCUUGGCACACGGCCGUGUGACGUCGACAGAAUGCAUUUCGGCUUUUCACUGUUCGCUAUUUUUUUCGAGUUUUUCAUUACACGCCUAGUCAUUUUUCGAUGUGAACGCAAUCGUGAAAAUUCCAAUACCUAAAUCGCUAUUCCAAAAAGAAUUAAUAAGCAAGUCUCGCACUAAAUCCGUCCACUAACUCGAACGCAACCAAUCCAUUAAUACGAACUAACGAAACUAGCCCUUAAUUAACACUUUCAUCACUUACCUUUUGCAAAACAAUAGCCAAUAGAAGUUCAAUUCACUGGAGGAUCCAAAAAUUCACGUUCCCCGCCUAACCAACAUUACAAAAUAACCGUUAAUUUCAACGUCACAACGAUAUAAAACACUCAAAGCAAACAUACGAAGAAUUACCCACGACGAACUUACAAAUCUAAUUCUGAAAUACUUACCACACACAGUCGUCACAAAUUAAUUGGCAAAGAGGCAACAAAAUCGAGAAUAACAA
rnacentral:lncRNA from 1 species